AUUGAACGCUGGCGGCAGGCCUAACACAUGCAAGUCGAACGAGUGGCGGACGGGCGAGUAAUAUCUGGGAAACCGCCUGAUGGAGGGGGAUAACUUCUGGAAAAGGUAGCUAAUACCGCAUACCAUCAGAUGUGCCCAUAGGGGAUUAGCUUGUUGGUGGGGUAACGUCUCACCAAGGCGACGAUCCCUAGCGGGUCUGAGAGGAUGACCAGCCAAACUGGGACUGAGACACGGUCCAGGCUCCUACGGGAGGCAGCAUUGGGGAAUAUUGCAUAAUGGGCGAAAGCCUGAUGCAGCCAUGCCGCAUGAAUGAAGAAGGCGUUGGGAUUGUAAAGUGCUUAUAUCGGGGAGGCGUUGCCCGCAGAAGAAGCACCGGCUAACUCCGUGCAAGCAGCCGCGGUAAUAC
rnacentral:rRNA from 1 species